rnacentral:rRNA from 1 species
UACGUAGGGUCCGAGCGUUGUCCGGAAUUACUGGGCGUAAAGAGCUCGUAGGUGGUUUGUCGCGUUGUUCGUGAAAACUCACAGCUCAACUGUGGGCGUGCGGGCGAUACGGGCAGACUGGAGUACUGCAGGGGAGACUGGAAUUCCUGGUGUAGCGGUGAAAUGCGCAGAUAUCUGGAGGAACACCGGUGGCGAAGGCGGCAUCCUGGACCAACACUGACACUGAGGAGCGAAAGCCAGGGGAGCAAACGGG